rnacentral:rRNA from 1 species
AUUGAACGCUGGCGGCAGGCCUAACACAUGCAAGUCGCGCGGAGCGGCGGACGGGUGAGUAAUGCCUAGGAAUCUGCCUGCUAGUGGGGGAUAACGUCCGGAAACGGGCGCUAAUGCCGCAUACUAUCAGAUGAGCCUAGGUCGGAUUAUCUAGUUGGUGGGGUAAAGGCCUACCAAGGCGCCGAUCCGUAACUGGGCUGAGAGGAUGAGCAGUCACACUUGACCUUAGACCAGGUCCAGAGCCCUACGGGAGGCAGCAUGGGGGAAUAUUGGACAAUGGGCGAAAUGCGGAUCCAGCCAUGCCGGGUGUGUGAAGAAGGAGUUGUGGUUGUAAAGCACAUGAAGUUGGGAGGCGGUACCAACAGAAUAAGCACCGGCUGGCUUCGUGUCAGCAGCCGCGGUAAUUC